AGCGAACGCUGGCGGCAGGCCUAAUACAUGCAAGUCGAACGGCUCUUCGGAGCAGUGGCGGACGGGUGAGUAACGCGUGGGAACGUGCCCUUUGGUUCGGAACAACACAGGGAAACUUGUGCUAAUACCGAAUGUGCCCUUCGGGGGAAAGAUUUAUCGCCAUUGGAGCGGCCCGCGUUGGAUUAGCUAGUUGGUGGGGUAAAGGCCCGCCAAGGCUACGAUCCAUAGCUGGUCUGAGAGGAUGAUCAGCCACACUGGGACUGAGACACGGCCCAGACUCCUACGGGAGGCAGCAGUAGGGAAUCUUGCGCAAUGGGCGAAAGCCUGACGCAGCCAUGCCGCGUGAAUGAUGAGGGUCUUAGGAUUGUAAAAUUCUUUCACCGGGGAAGAUAAUGACGGUACCCGGAGAAGAAGCCCCGGCUAACUUCGUGCCAGCCGCCGCCGUAAUAC
rnacentral:rRNA from 1 species